rnacentral:rRNA from 1 species
CCUACGGGAGGCUGCAGUCGAGAAUCUUGCGCAAUGGGCGAAAGCCUGACGCAGCGACGCCGCGUGAGGGAAGAAGGCCUCCUGUGCGUAAAGCGGAGGAGGAGUGACGGUACCCAUAGAAGAAGCUCCGGCUAACUACGUGCCAGCAGCCGCGGUAAUACGUAGGGAGCGAGCGUUGUCCGGAAUUACUGGGCGUAAAGCGUCCGUAGGCGGCGAGGUAAGUCGCACGUGAAAGCCCCGGGCUCAACUCGGGUGAGUGCGUGCGAUACUGCCCCGCUUGAGUGCCGGAGGGGAGAGUGGAACGGUGCAAGUAGCGGUGAAAUGCGUAGAUAUGCAUCGGAACACCGGUGGCGAGGGCGGCUCUCUGGACGGUCACUGACGCUGAGGGACGAAAGCCAGGGGAGCAAACGGGAUUAGAUCCCCCUGUAGU